GUUGAGGGGAAUGCUGUCUGGUUCGAGACCGUUUGUUGGAUAUCGUCGUUGUUUCCAUGAUGGGAACGAUCUCGGACCAGGCUUCAUUCCCCCCAAC
rnacentral:pre_miRNA from 2 species